GAUGAAGAACGCAGCGAAAUGCGAUAAGUAAUGUGAAUUGCAGAAUUCAGUGAAUCAUCGAAUCUUUGAACGCACAUUGCGCCCCCUGGUAUUCCGGGGGGCAUGCCUGUCCGAGCGUCAUUGCUGCCCUCAAGCCCGGCUUGUGUGUUGGGCCCCGUCCCCCUCUCCGGGGGACGGGCCCGAAAGGCAGCGGCGGCACCGAGUCCGGUCCUCGAGCGUAUGGGGCUUUGUCACCCGCUCUGUAGGCCCGGCCGGCGCCAGCCGACAACCCAUCAUCCUUUUCAGGUUGACCUCGGAUCAGGUAGGGAUACCCGCUGAACUUAAGCAUAUCAAUAAGCGGAGGA
rnacentral:misc_RNA from 1 species